GGAGAGAUGCCUGAGUGGCCGAAAGGACCAGUUUGCUAAACUGGCGUACGGGAAACUGUACCGCGGGUUCGAAUCCCGCUCUCUCCGCCA
rnacentral:tRNA from 1 species